UACGUAGUGUGCGAGCGUUGUCCGGAAUUAUUGGGCGUAAAGAGCUCGUAGGCGGUGUGUCACGUCGUUCGUGAAAACCUGCAGCUUAACUGUGGGCGUGCGGUCGAUACGGGCAUCACUGGAGUUCGGCAGGGGAGACUGGAAUUCCUGGUGUAGCGGUGAAAUGCGUAGAUAUCUGGAGGAACACCGGUGGCGAAGGCGGCAUCCUGGACCAACACUGACGCUGAGUGAGCGAAAGCCAGGGGAGCAAACGGG
rnacentral:rRNA from 1 species